rnacentral:lncRNA from 1 species
GACAAGGCCAGUGGAGCCCUGCGGUGCCUGGUGCCUGAGGUCCUCGGCGCUCAUCGGUUAGCCUUGGCCUGUCUUCACUGACUGAGUAGGCUCUACUAUAUCUGUCCAGCAGGUGGCGCUACUCCCCCACCUUGCCUGCCACAGACCACACCGAAAUCCCUCGCCAAACACACAUCCCUCUUACAGGAAAUCAGAAUUUAAGAGAGGCCCCUGGGAUUUUAAGAAGUGGCCAAGGAGGAGCUAUGGAAGUAAAAAUUGGUCCCUACCCCACUGAGAAGUGAAAUAGGACCGAAGGGAGACUGGCUACUUUCAGUACCAUAAACCUUGGACCCAUUUUACUGAUGAGUAAUUUGAGACUCGACAACUUUAGGUGACACCAAGAGGCUUGAGAGAGGCAACGCUAAGCCAUCCGAUUCCAAGUGCCCAAGGGGGCCAGAAGAGGGCGUCGGAUCCCCUGGAACUGGAGUUACAGACAAUUGUGAGUUGUCAUGUGGGUGCUGUGAUUCGAACCUGGGUUCCUGACCACCGAACCAUCUCACCAGACCUCGUUUUGACUUUAAGGUCCGCCUUGGCUACGUAGCCAGUUUGGGGCCAGAAUGGGCUGCAUGAGAUCCUGUCUCAAAUGAGUAGCCCGGAGGUACAGCUAGGUGCUGCAGAGCCUGUCCUAGGUUCGAUAUCCAGCAAUGAGAAAACAAGACGACUCAGCCAGAAACCGGAUAAGGGCGCGCGCUUACCACCGUGCCUGACCGCAUUGUAUGUGUCUGCAGGAAAACACACACACACCAGUGUGUGCAGUGCAUGGAGGUCAGACGAGGGCGUCGGAGCUCUACGCACCCGUGGAAGCAAGCCAGAGGACAACUUGAUGGACUAUAAACUUCUUCUUCCAUCAUGUGGAUCUGCAAGCUGGAACUCAGGUUAUCAAGCUUGGUGGCAUGUGUGCCCAUCUCACUGAACCUCUAACUUUUUCUAAAUUAAUUAACUUUUUCUGAUGGAAUAUGCUGUAUAGACCAUGCUGGCUUUGAACUCAUCAAGAUCUGCCUGUUUCUGCCUCCUGAAUGCUGGGAUGCUGGAAUGCCUCACUACAGUCGUUCAUAUUUAUUUUGAGCCAAACUGCCACCAUAUUGGCCUGCUUGGCCUGGAACUAAGAGACCUGACUCUGCUUCUCGGGUAUUUGGAUUAAGACAGAAAUCACUAUACCAGCUAAUUUUACACCCCCACCCCCACCCCGCCCCAACAGGGUUUCUCUGUAACUUUGGAGGCUGUCCUGGAACUCACUCUGUAGACCAGGCUGGUCUCAAACUCACAGAGAUCCGCCUGCCUCUGCCUUCCAAGUGCUGGGAUUAAAGGCGUGUGCCACCACCGCUCGGCCUAAUUUUAUAUUUUAAAGAUAUGUUUUUUUUUAAUGUGCAUGGGUGUUUUGCCUGUGCAUGUAUCUAUGCACCACUGUCUUGCCUGGUGCCUACGGAGAUUGAACAGAAGGGAGCCUCGGAGCCCCUGAAACUAGUAACAGAUAGUUGUG